rnacentral:misc_RNA from 1 species
AACCUUAUGGACCUGCGGGCGUAUACCUGCGGAAGGAUCAUUACAGAGUUGCAAAACUCCCUAAACCAUUGUGAACGUUACCUAAACCGUUGCUUCGGCGGGCGGCCCGGGUCCUUCCCGGCGCCCAUCGGCCCUCGCGGGCGCCCGCCGGAGGUAAACCAAACUAUUGCAUUGUAUGGCCUCUCUGAGUCUUCUGUACUGAAUAAGUCAAAACUUUUAACAACGGAUCUCAGAUCGGAA